AUUACAUCACAACCAUAUAUAGGCACAUCAUGGCUAUGGGCAUACAACAUCUUCACACGUCUUUGAAUUGUAGAUGCUUGGUUGUUCAAAUGAAGGGGAAGACAGUGGAAGUGGUCGAGAGGAAAAACGUUCUCCACACAAGAACACCGACAAAGUCAACAAGAAGUUUCUAUGGAACCAUGGAUUAACACCUCCACUAAAGAAUGUGAGAAAAUGAAGGUUCAGAAAAACAGCCAAGAAAUAGUACAUAGAAUCACCAGAUAUUGAGAAAGAAGUGAAAAGACUACUAAGAAUGGACAGCACAGCUAUCAGAGUCCGUAUCCUUUCAUCCGAUUUAUACUAUUUUGAGGAAUUUUAUCUAUUGUUUGAAUUGUGAGUAGCAGCAGUUAUUUAAUUAACAUUUGAGGCUUGUCAUCCUAAAACCAGCAAACUGUCACUAAAUGAGUAAUUAGCAAAGAAUGUGGCAGUAUUGUGUACUUUAGUACAGAGAAGCUGUAAUACUUUUAUUCAUAACUUUAGUAAUAGUGAGUCGAUUCCAGUAAACGA